UCAUCUCUAAUCUAUUUUUUUCAAUAAUUUCACAAAAAUAAAAUAAAAUAAAUAUUAACGUAUUUUAUUAAUGUAGAAUUUAUUCCGGACUUAAUUUUUGGGUUCGGGUGUUACAGAGAAUAUUAGAACUCAAACCUAAUAAAGAAAAAUCGUAGAAUUUAUUCCGGACUUAAUUUUUGAGUUCGGGUGUUACAGAGAAUAUUAGAACUCAAACCUAAUAAAGAAAAAUCGUCUGGGAAGCUAAGGGAAUAUUGGUUAUGUCUUCUCGGUAUGGAUAACCAGUGCAUGAAAGGGGUGAAGUGGUUGACUGUUAACAUUACCUUUCUUACUGAAUUUAAUUGUGCUGAAUGUUUGUACAUAAUAUAGUUGUAGAUGAUAUGAUAUCUUAUCCUAAUUUUAAUUAGUACUUGAUGAGUACACAUGUGCAUAAUAACCACAUGACAUUUUGGAAAUUAAUCUGCAUUGCUUGUGUGUAUGUGUUAAAUGCAUAAAUAAUGACUACAUAUGAUGAUUUGUUAUUCCAGGAAUUCGGAGAUGCUGUGAAUAUGUGUGUGCAGUCAGCCAAGUGUUAUCGCUUCGAUGAAGGAGAGGUAGUAAAACAGGAGCCGCUACAAGAACUCUCGGAGUCGAGACAUGACCCGGAUGGUGCACAGACUUAGCAAUAUUCUGAAUGUUGUAGAUUUCAGUUUUAUUUUUGGUUUGUUGAGUAGAAAUAGCUUAUAAAGUGUAAAUGUUAGUGGCUGGAUUUAGUUGCUAAUAUAUGAGUUAUCUGUAUGUAACAAGUUGGAGAAGGUCUACUAGUUUAUGAUGAUUGGAAAUGGAUAUAUGUUUAGAUUUACGUCAUGACUGUCAUGGAAAAAUAUCACAUUUUACAUUUAUGCAUCUUCUGAAUAAAUAUUAAUGGAUGGUAUUUUAUA